UCCACUUCGAAACCAACCACAUGGGUGGUUUUCCUUUUCUUUUUUUUUUUUUUAUCUCUCGCUCUCUCUCUCUCUUUUUUUUUUUUUUUAACAUAUGCGUACAUAUUUCCGUUCUUUUCUAAUAAUUCAGUUAUCUCCCCUUCGUGAAGAUCGGGAGGAAACAUAAACACGCACACAAAGAAGUGCCGAGCCAUGCAAAUUCAAAGAGAGAACAAAUCAUCCGCUGAUUAUACCGGGUCCAAUUUUCUCUCCCUUCGUGCACCACCAGCCACCACAGACGCACACACUUUUUUUUUCAGAGCAAAUGAUGCUAUUUGAUGGAGGGGUGGGAAGAGAGGGGAAAAACCCUGCUCUGCCGUAGAAAAGAAAUUCGAAGAAUUAAAAUUGGGAGGAGAGAAACUGGGACUUUUCUUUCCCCUCCUCCCCCCCUUCUUUGAAGCUGAGAGAAGGGCGACUGCCCCGGGACACUGCAGGAGUAAAAAAAAAAAAGGAAAAAAAAAAAGGUCUGAGAAAGAUCAAAAACCGGCUCCGCAAGUCCCAGGGGCGACCUCUCCCCCCGACACAUUCCCCAAACUGCGCGGCAGAGGCGCGGAGAGGAGCCGGGCAAAGCGGAGAAGGGGAGGGGGACUCGUGUCACCCCUGCUCCGGGUGUCAGGACCCAGGCAGGACCCAGCUCCCUUCCCUCCUUCCUUCCCUACCUCCACGGACAGCCACGUUUCAAGCUCAACCCGGCUGCAGGAGAGGCUCCCGACCCUGGAGCGGGUCUCCGCCGCGGCACCGGGCACCGCUCCCACCGCAGGGCGCUGGGCAGCCCUCCCGAAAGGCUUCGACCCCACAAAUUAAAAAAUAAGGAAAGAGAAAAGCCAGCAAACAGCCUGAACAGCCACUCCAAAUUACGGAGAGGUUAAAGAAGUGCUCAGUAGGGAAAAGUAAUUUUUAAAAUAAAUAAAUAAAAAAAGGAGGGAGGAGGGGAGCCGGCUUAUUUCGGGUUUCUCGAUUUUGCUUUAUCUCCCUCGUUUUGAGCGAGAGAUUUGCAGGCGAAUUGAAGCAUCUUGCGGGCUUUAAACCCGGCAAGUGCCGUUUUCCUCGCACCCCACGAAGAAGGCGAAGCUGCCGAUGUGUUUAAGGAUUCUUUUUUGUCUUUUUUUUCUUCUUUUUUUUUUUUUUUUUUUUUUUCUCCGAAAGCAGAAAUUACCCCGGGACUUAAAGAAGAAAACACAAAUCGCCCGGCGGCUGGCGUAAGAGGCGGCGGCAGAAUUAACACCAGCUCCUCGGUGAGACGCAGGGGCAGAUCCCGACCUCCCAGGAUUAAAACCGGAGCGAUUUACUCCGGGAAGCGGCCGGCUGCUGUUAAUUUAAAGCCCUCCUUGCACCCCCCAAAACAAAUCCCCCGUGCCCACAGACCCCACCGGCUGUAACCCCGCACGACGCGGCCGCCCCGCAUGGUGACAACCCACUCCCUAACCGUGGGGCUCGUAUUUACCGUCAGAGGCUCCAAAAUUCAAACAAUGUCGAGGGUGUCGGAGUGUGCACGAUUUCUUUCCGACCUAAAGAGACGGCUACCGCACCCCAAAUUCCCCUGAGGAGCACGUACAGGCACCCCGAGAUGCUGUCCCGCCCCCGUCCAAGCACAAGGCGAUGCUCUUCGCAUCCCGGGGGGCGAGAGCAGCCCCCAGCCGGGUGUUCCCCCUCCUCCUCGUCCCACUCCCUACCUGCCCCUGCCGGGAAAAACCUUCUCGUCUUAUUUUCCACCUUGAAAUUAAAACACCCCCCUCGGCUCUGUAAAAAAAAUUCACAUCCCCGGGAGAAGGAAGCGCUUCGCCCCAGCCGGGAGCAAAAUGCAGCGGCGGGUUGAGGGUAGACCUUCCCUCUUCCCUCCUUCCUUUCCGAGAGCCUGUUUCUCCUUUCCCGGGGCCCCCAGGUUGCCGGGACCCUUUCUUUCCCCCCUGUCUGUCCGGGGACUCCUCCCGGUGCAGCCGGGGAGCUGGGACCUGUGUCCGCCUCGGCGGAGCAGCAGCCCCUGCCCGCGGCACCGACGGGUCCCGGCUCCCUCGCUCCGCACCUGCGGCCCAUAAAUAAUGGAGAAAACAAGCAGGGCCGGUGGUUAUUAAUUAUCCGGUUUCAUUAAAAUCCGUCACCCGGAGCCUGCUGCCUGUGUACGGACACGUGAAGGUAAGAGGAGCUGGGAUGGAUGGAUGGAUGGAUGGAUGGAUGGAUGGAUAGAUAGAUAGAUAGAUAGAUAGAUAGAUAGAUAGAUAGAUAGAUAGAUAGAUAGAUAGAGGGAUGGAUGGAUUUUCUCCCCUUUCUGUUCUCAAAACGCUCGAUGGCAGAUAACGUGGAUUUUUUGACAGCACGAGCCAUUCCCACUGCUCCCUCCCGAAACAUCCUCUGCACGGUUUGGAGGGUGAAAAAUUCUCCUACAAGGCGGGGAAGGAGGAGAGAGACUUCAGUGCAGGGAUGCCGGGAGAGAGAGGAAACUCUCUUCUUGUCCCUCGGCCCCCAGUCCUGCCGGAGCCCACGACGGCCCAGCCCGGCCCGGCCCGGCCCGGCCCGCGGAUCUCCGCAGCGGGACCAGGAGCCGCCGGGAAGGUGCGGGUCCGGCCCCGGAGCAGAGCCAUCUCCCUCCUCAUCCCAGCCUGCCUUUACCACACACCUCUGGGGUAGCUCUGCUCUGCGUUUCUAAGCACAGAUCGACCGAACAGAAUCAAAUCAAAUCAAAUCGGAGUUAUUCGUGGGAAGAGCACAGAACCACAGCCAUUGGCACAUGCCUGCCCGCAUGAAUAUCGCUGUACACAGAGCGAUACACAGAGUAUGUGAGUCCGGAUAUACAAUAUAAAUAUAUACGAAUAUAUAUAUAUUUUCAUAUGCGCAUAGGUAUGAAGCCAGGCACAGAAAGGCCCCGCAUAUCCCGCAGAUAAAUAUUCCUUCCAGUCCUGAGAUUAAUAUUUGCUUAAUAUUUCACAUCCCAGCUAUGUCAACACCGUGUCCCAUCUCCCAGCCCCCGCCGCCCCAGA